rnacentral:rRNA from 1 species
UGAACGAAAGAUUUAUUGGCAACGGAUGGGGAUGCGUCUGAUUAGGUUGUUGGCGGGGUAACGGCCCACCAAGCCUACGAUCAGUAGGGGUUCUGAGAGGAAGGUCCCCCACAUUGGAACUGAGACACGGUCCAAACUCCUACGGGAGGCAGCAGUGAGGAAUAUUGGUCAAUGGACGGAAGUCUGAACCAGCCAAGUAGCGUGCAGGAUGACGGCCCUAUGGGUUGUAAACUGCUUUUAUGUGGGAAUAAAGUGAGGGACGUGUCCCUUUUUGUAGGUACCACAUGAAUAAGGACCGGCUAAUUCCGUGCCAGCAGCCGCGGUAAUACGGAAGGUCCGGGCGUUAUCCGGAUUUAUUGGGUUUAAAGGGAGCGUAGGCCGUCUUUUAAGCGUGUUGUGAAAUACUGUCGCUCAACGACAGAGGUGCAGCGCGAACUGGGAGACUUGAGUGCGCGGAAUGCAGGCGGAAUUCGUCGUGUAGCGGUGAAAUGCUUAGAUAUGACGAAGAACUCCGAUUGCGAAGGCAGCUUGCAGUAGCGUAACUGACGCUGAAGCUCGAAAGUGCGGGUAUCGAACAGGAUUAGAUACCCUGGUAGUCCGCACGGUAAACGAUGGAUGCUCGCUGUGUGCCCCUGGGUACGCGGCCAAGCGAAAGCGUUAAGCAUCCCACCUGGGGAGUACGCCGGCAACGGUGAAACUCAAAGGAAUUGACGGGGGCCCGCACAAGCGGAGGAACAUGUGGUUUAAUUCGAUGAUACGCGAGGAACCUUACCCGGGCUUGAAUUGCAGGAGAACGAUACAGAGAUGUUGAGGUCCUUCGGGACUCCUGUGAAGGUGCUGCAUGGUUGUCGUCAGCUCGUGCCGUGAGGUGUCGGCUUAAGUGCCAUAACGAGCGCAACCCCUCUCCGUAGUUGCCAUCAGGUGAUGCUGGGCACUCUGCGGACACUGCCGCCGUAAGGUGUGAGGAAGGUGGGGAUGACGUCAAAUCAGCACGGCCCUUACGUCCGGGGCUACACACGUGUUACAAUGGGUCAUACAGAGUGUUGUGCGUAUGCAAAUACGUUCUAAUCAUUAAAAUGAUCCUCAGUUCGGAUUGGGGUCUGCAACCCGACCCCAUGAAGCUGGAUUCGCUAGUAAUCGCGCAUCAGCCAUGGCGCGGUGAAUACGUUCCCGGGCCUUGUACACACCGCCCGUCAAGCCA